rnacentral:rRNA from 1 species
AGCGGUGCACGGGUGCGUAACACGUGGGUAAUCUGCCCUGGAGUCUGGGAUAACUCUCCGAAAGGGGUGCUAAUACCGGAUAAGACCACCUUCGGAAAAGGUGCGUUCCAGGAUGAGCCCGCGGCCCAUCAGCUCGUUGGCGGGGUAACGGCCCACCAAGGCUACGACGGGUAGCUGGUCUGAGAGGACGAUCAGCCACACUGGAACUGAGACACGGUCCAGACUCCUACGGGAGGCAGCAGUGGGGAAUCUUGCGCAAUGGGCGAAAGCCUGACGCAGCAACGCCGCGUGUGUGAUGAAGGUCUUCGGAUCGUAAAGCACUGUCGGGAGGGACGAAUGACGGUACCUCCAAAGGAAGCACCGGCUAACUCUGUGCCAGCAGCCGCGGUAAUACAGAGGGUGCAAGCGUUGUUCGGAAUUAUUGGGCGUAAAGCGCGUGUAGGCGGACUUGCAAGUUGGGUGUGAAAGCCCUCGGCUUAACCGAGGAAGUGCG